GACAUUGCUUUCCACAUUCAUAGCAUGUGACGUCUUGUGUAAAUGUCAAAGCCUUCCUUUUUCUGAAAUGUUUAUUUCUUUUUGCAUAAAAGGAUUUGCCAUUUUUACCAAAAAAACUUACCAAACCUUUUAACAAGGAGCAUGAAAUUUCCAUCUUCCUCUGUUGUGCCAUCAUCUUUAUCUUCCUUUGAGUCUACUUUCAAAGUAAUGCCUUUGGGUUUCUUCUCUUGACUUUCAUGCUUUUCAAG
rnacentral:lncRNA from 1 species